rnacentral:rRNA from 1 species
AUUGAACGCUGGCGGCAUGCUUUACACAUGCAAGUCGAGCGGCAGCGCGGGGGCAACCCUGGCGGCGAGCGGCGGACGGGUGAGUAAUGCAUCGGAACGUAUCCCGUAGUGGGGGACAACCCAGCGAAAGCUGGGCUAAUACCGCAUAUGCUCUACGGAGGAAAGUGGGGGACCAGCAAUGGCCUCACGCUAUGGGAGCGGCCGAUGUCCGAUUAGCUAGUUGGUGGGGUAAAGGCUUACCAAGGCGACGAUCGGUAGCUGGUCUGAGAGGAUGAUCAGCCACACUGGGACUGAGACACGGCCCAGACUCCUACGGGAGGCAGCAGUGGGGAAUUUUGGACAAUGGGGGCAACCCUGAUCCAGCCAUGCCGCGUGCGGGAAGAAGGCCUUCGGGUUGUAAACCGCUUUUGGUCGGGAAGAAAGGGCUCUCUCUAAUACGGGGGGCUGUGACGGUACCGG